CCCCACGUAGCUCAACUGGAUAGAGCGCCGAAGUCCCAACUUGGAGGUUGCAGGUCCGAAUCCUGCCGUGGGGG
rnacentral:tRNA from 1 species